rnacentral:rRNA from 1 species
UGGGGAAUAUUGGACAAUGGGCGCAAGCCUGAUCCAGCCAUGCCGCGUGAGUGAUGAAGGCCCUAGGGUUGUAAAGCUCUUUUGUGCGGGAAGAUAAUGACGGUACCGCAAGAAUAAGCCCCGGCUAACUUCGUGCCAGCAGCCGCGGUAAUACGAAGGGGGCUAGCGUUGCUCGGAAUCACUGGGCGUAAAGGGUGCGUAGGCGGGUCUUUAAGUCAGGGGUGAAAUCCUGGAGCUCAACUCCAGAACUGCCUUUGAUACUGAAGAUCUUGAGUUCGGGAGAGGUGAGUGGAACUGCGAGUGUAGAGGUGAAAUUCGUAGAUAUUCGCAAGAACACCAGUGGCGAAGGCGACUCACUGGCCCGAUACUGACGCUGAGGCACGAAAGCGUGGGGAGCAAACAGGAUUAGAUACCCUUGUAGUCCUGAGCGGGCUGGCAAGGCGCAU